rnacentral:rRNA from 1 species
AUUGAACGCUGGCGGCAUGCCUUACACAUGCAAGUCGAACGGCAGCGGGGGAGAAGCUUGCUUUUCCUGCCGGCGAGUGGCGAACGGGUGAGUAAUACAUCGGAACGUGCCCUGUCGUGGGGGAUAACUAGUCGAAAGAUUAGCUAAUACCGCAUACGACCUGAGGGUGAAAGGGGGGGACCGCAAGGCCUCAUGCUAUAGGAGCGGCCGAUGUCUGAUUAGCUAGUUGUUGGGGUAAAGGCCUACCAAGGCGACGAUCAGUAGCUGGUCUGAGAGGACGAUCAGCCACACUGGGACUGAGACACGGCCCAGACUCCUACGGGAGGCAGCAGUGGGGAAUUUUGGACAAUGGGCGAAAGCCUGAUCCAGCAAUGCCGCGUGUGUGAAGAAGGCCUUCGGGUUGUAAAGCACUUUUGUCCGGAAAGAAAUGGCUCUGGUUAAUACCUGGGGUCGAUGACGGUACCGGAAGAAUAAGGACCGGCUAACUACGUGCCAGCAGCCGCCGUAA